GAAAUUCUGGACUCUUCGUUCCAUUUCGAAGCCAAGCUCUCCGACGUCUGCUUUUUUCUAAAAAACUCUAGCCCUCUCCUUCCCAAACACACCUCCCACAAACGUCUCUGCUGCGUUUUCUGCGAUUAACACUUUUGAAACAAGAAAUUAAAUCGAUCUCCAAAAAUCCAACUCCCAAACUGGAUCAGGAUCCAUCACCAUCUCGCGAUGCCUUGCUCAGAUCGGCUCUGCACUCAUCAUCGACGACUCUGCCUUCACGAAGGACUCUGCAAAUCCCAUCACCGAUAAAGAGGGGCUUCUCAAUCUGUUGUCUGGACUGAAGAAAAGGAGGAUGGGGCUCUCGAAAUCUCAAAUCCGAGAAAAGAGAAAGUUCUUAUCAAGUACAUACAUAAAUUAAAAAGGUAUUGAAUUGGUACCUCCUGAUCAUCGAGAGACGGUAUAAUAUAUGCAGGUGCAAAAUCAUUUUGGGUUUGCAUGCAACCAAACUUCUCUGAUGCAAACCAACAGAUCGAGGACUUUAAGGACAUCCUCAAGGCGCAGUGGUAGAAUCAUACUCUUGAGGUUUAGAUUUUUUUUUUCCCUUCUGUUUUUUAGAGUAAUUUUUCGGGUUUCUUCUCGCUUUUAUUAUGAAAGUAAGAGAUUGAUAAGGUGCAUAGGAGGCUUCCAUCUUUCUAUCCUUCAAGUAUUUGACAAUCAACUAUUGUGGGCUAAUGCGACAAAUUUUUGUGAAGCGGGAGCCUUGUGCACUGGUGAGUUACCAAAGACUAAUUAAUCAAUGAUGAAUUACACGUCAAAACCUCAGAGUGGGAAGUCAUCGGUCCCAAUUCAAAUGUUUAGCAUUCAUGGUUGACUUGAUGAGCAAACUAUGGUGGAGUACAUAAUUCCAAAGGACGAUGGAAGCCUGGUGUUGUACGUUGGAUUCAGAGUGCAGCAUGACAAUGCACGUGGAUGAUGUCUUAAUUUGGUUUUUGUUUUCGUUUUGUUAGUCUUAUGUUUUUGUUCUUUUUCAUGAUCUGGUUGUUGAAAUAUCAUUUAGAAGGGAAGAGUAAUGGUUAAAGAUAUUAGCUUUUCGGCCCAAGUGUCGAGGAAGUUGUUGGAGUAAUGUGUUUGGAUUAUGAUAUGUUCAGGGUUCGAUUCCCUUCAGUAACCAAAAAAAAAAAGAUAUGAACUUUGAUUCUGAACUUUUGGGUACUAAUCAAAAGUGUAAUGAUGCAUGCAUUUGCGUAACCUGUGAUUGUGUUAUGGUGUCUAAAUUCAUGUUCUUUUCAUCUAUACUGCAUGAGACAGAAAUGAUUGUUGCAUUUGUUUGUUUUUUUGUUUCAUGUUUUUGUACUUAUGCCUAAUUGUCUUUUUAUUUUUCUUUUCUGUGCAGUGGAACCAGCAAAAGUUCACUCUCUGGAGUUGCUCCACUUGAAGUUGUAUUAUUUGAUAUUGAUGGAACGCUGUGUGAUUCGGAUCAAAUUCAUUACUAUGCCUUUCGUGAAAUGCUACCAGAGAUAGGUUUCAACGGAGGUGUUCCGAUUACUGAGGAGUACUAUAUUGAGAAUUUUGCUGGGAAGCAUAACGAUGAUGUUGCCAGGAUACUGUUUCCUGAUGACUUAGAAAGAGGCUUAAAGUUCACAGAAGACAAGGAAGCCAUGUUUCGCAGAUUGGCCGUAGAUAAAUUGAAGCCUGUGAAUGGUCUCUAUAAAGUGAAGAAAUGGAUUGAAGAUCGUGGGUUGAAACGGACAAAAUCCAUGACCUCAUUGGAACUCAUACUGAUGUUCCAGCAUCCGAUAUGGGCACCAAUGCUCAGACCAUCCUUAAAUAUCUAUUUUUAGACGUUCAAUUUCUCCAUUUAUUAUCCAGUACUUAAAAAAAAUUUAAAUCUAGGAUUUUUUUUUUCCCUUGGUUAUUUGAUGGUUUUAAAUUUAUGAAUACAGGUUUGUGUUUUUUUGUUCAAAUACUAUUUCAAAGCUGAAGGAAACAUUGUUCGUGAAUAGCACAUUGUCUACAAAGACGACAUAGAAGACAGUUUACUUAAUGUGAAAAAGAAAGUUUAAUUCUCAUUACUUUCUUACAUUAUUUGAAAUCAAAUUUGGUCACAUUGUGCUUAGCUUAAUCAUUUUGUUGCAUACAUUGCACGGCUCUGGUGUUUCCCUAUGGGGUGUUUCACUGUACAAAUUCUUUUUUCUCUGUUUUAAUUGCACGUGUGUGUGUGUUUUUUUUUUUAAAUUUUGUUCGCUCUGCUUUCAUGGUGUUUUGCGUUUAAUUUGAUGUUUGCAGGCACUGCGUUUGCUUAUGGGCAGACCAGUAGUGGGAAGACUUUUACCGUGAAUGGUUCCGAAACAUGUCCGGGUAUCUUAUAUUGAGCCGUUAGAGAUGUUUUUGACAGAACUCAGAUGGUAGACGUGAGCUGAGGAGAACUUCCAAAGGAGUUCCUUUUGGAAUGGUCAAACCAGGACUCUCAGUCCAAUAAAUAGUCUGGCCGACGCAGUUUCAAUUUAAACCAGAGCAGCAGACGAGCAAGCGUUAGGUGAAGAACUUGCAUGGCAAACGACACACCAGGGCACGACCGUCUGCUAGAGCCAAACAACAUCAGCUUAAAUUGUUGCCCUCGAACUAGGGCUGGGCACGGGCCGGGGCCGGGGCCGGGCCGGGUCCAUUUUUGAAGGGACCGGACCGGACAUUAAAUUAAAGGAGACGGGGUGGGCCGGACCGGGCAUUACAAUUCUGAAAAUAGGAACCGGACCUUACCCGGCCCGGUUGAAACAGGCCGGUUCGGUCCGGGUACACGGGUCCUUUUUUUUUUUUUUUUGCUGUUUAAAAAUGUUUGCUGCACAGAUUGCACAUAUUGCACAAAUUGCAGUUUGAAAAAACUGCAUAGAUUCCAGUUACACAGAUUGCAGUUUGAAAAAACUGCACAGAUUGCAGAAACUGCACAGAGAGCAGUUUUUGCAGUUUACAGAUUGCAGUUUUUAAACUGCAACACAGAAAAACUGCAGUCCAUGGAGUGCCUACAAGGAAAAAAAGGAAAAACAAAAUCAGUUAAGAGAGGACAUCUUGUACUAUAUAUUUGGAUUAGUUUUAAUAAAACUUCCGCCAAAAAGAACAUAAAUUCUGAAUUAUGGGUAAACUCAAUACACAAUAUGCAUGUGUUUAUCAUGCCUGUAAAAAAAAAAAGGGUAG